UUCGGGUUGUAAACUCCUUUCGCUAGGGACGAAGCUUUUUGUGACGGUACCUAGAUAAGAAGCACCGGCUAACUACGUGCCAGCAGCCGCGGUAAUACGUAGGGUGCGAGCGUUGUCCGGAAUUACUGGGCGUAAAGGGCUCGUAGGUGGUUUGUCGCGUCGUCUGUGAAAUUCCGGGGCUUAACUCCGGGCGUGCAGGCGAUACGGGCAUAACUUGAGUACUGUAGGGGUAACUGGAAUUCCUGGUGUAGCGGUGAAAUGCGCAGAUAUCAGGAGGAACACCGAUGGCGAAGGCAGGUUACUGGGCAGUUACUGACGCUGAGGAGCGAAAGCAUGGGUAGCGAACAGGAUUAGAUACCCUGGUAGUCCAUGCCGUAAACGGUGGGCGCUAGGUGUGAGGGUCUUUUCACGACUUUCGUGCCGUAGCUAACGCAUUAAGCGCCCCGCCUGGGGAGUACGGCCGCAAGGCUAAAACUCAAAUGAAUUGACG
rnacentral:rRNA from 1 species